GCUUUGCUCUGAAAUCUAGGCAGAAGCCGUCCUGGCUCAACAACUCUGCCAUCCUGUGUCUUGAUCCCGCAACUCUGCUAUCUGUGUGCACCUUCAGUUGGCUGCGCAAGCCUAGCUGAAGACCUAGAGUUCAUGGCAGUGCCCUCCAUGAGUCUAACUGGAGGCCUGGAGCGCACGACAGUAUCUCAUCUAAUCCGACUGGAUAGUCUCAGUGCUUACUGGAAUGUGAACUGCCGUCUGUCCUACUAGGGGUCCCGAGAACAGAUCUUGGAUCAACUGAAAAAUGAAAUUCUUACCAAGUAGACAGAGACCUCCAAACCAUCAAUACAUUUUCCAGCCAAUAUCCAGCCAGUUUCCUGCAAAACUCUACAUGAAUCCUCAUGCAGAAGUAGAACUCAAAACUCCCAAAUUAGAUUGGAGCAUAGAAGUGCAGAAUAUUGCCAUUGAGCUGACCAAGCCCCAGUACGUAAGUAUGAUUGACCUUUUGGAAUCAUUGGAUUAUAUGGUUAGAAAUGUACCUUAUAGGAAAUAUAAACCUAAUUUACCACUUCAUACCAAUUGUAGGCAAUGGUGGAAGUAUGCCAUUGAUUCAGUUCUUGAAGUUCAUAUAAGAAGAUGUACACAGAUGUGGUCAUGGUGUAACAUAAAGAAGCAUAGAGAGUUACUCAAGAGUUAUAAAAUCGCUUACAAGAAUAAGCUAACUCAGACUAAACUCUCGGAAGAAAUCCAGAAACAAAUUCAGGACCUGGAGAAGACUUUAGAUGUUUUUAACAUAAUUUUAGCAAGGCAACAAGCACAAGUCGAGGUGAUUCGAUCUGGGCAGAAACUAAUGAAGAAAUCCACUGACACAGGGGAGAAAUGGGGAGGCUGGUUUAGUGGGUUUGGGGGUAAGAAGGAGUCUAAGAAAGGUGAAGAAUCAUUGAUUCCUGAAACUAUUGAUGAUCUUAUGACCCCUGAGGAGAAGGACAAACUAUUCACUGCUAUUGGUUACAGCGGGAGCAUGCAUAACUUGACUUUGCCCAAGAAGUAUGUUGCCUAUAUAAUGACCUUGAAGUUGGUAAGCACUUCUAUUGUAAUCAGAGAAAACAAAAAUAUUCCUGAAAUCCUAAAAAUCCAGAUCAUUGGCCUGGGCACCCAAGUAUGCCAGCGACCAGGAGCGCAAGCCCUUAAGGUAGAAGCAAAGUUAGAACACUGGUAUAUCACAGGUCUGAGACAGCAGGAUACUGUGCCAUCCCUUGUGGCUUCCAUUGGUGACACUGCAUCAUCCUUGCUUAAAAUUGAGUUUGAAACCAAUCCAGAGAACAGCCUUGCUGACCAGACGCUGACCGUCCAGUCCCAGCCCGUGGAGGUCAUCUACGAUGCUAAAACCAUCAAUGCAGUGGUUGGUUUCUUUCAGUCAAAUAGGGGAUUGGAUCUUGAGCAAAUAACAUCAGCUACUUUGAUGAAGCUGGAAGAAAUUAAAGAGAGAACAGCUACUGGACUUACACAUAUAAUUGAGACUCGAAAAGUUCUUGAUUUAAGGAUAAAUCUGAAGCCUUCUUAUCUAAUAGUUCCACAGACAGGCUUCCACCAUGAAAAGUCAAAUCUUCUCAUUUUAGAUUUUGGUACAUUUCAGCUCAACAGUAAAAGUCAAGGUCUACAGAAGACUACCAGUUCAUCUUUGGAAGAAAUAAUGGAUAAAGCAUAUGACAAGUUUGAUGUUGAAAUAAAGAGUGUGCAACUACUCUUUGCAAGAGCAGGGGAAAACUGGAAGAAGUGUCGUUUUCAGCACCCGUCCACUAUGCAUAUACUGCAGCCCAUGGAUAUUCAUGUGGAGCUAGCCAAGGCGAUGGUAGAGAAGGACACGAGAAUGGCCAGAUUUAAAGCAUCAGGAGGACUUCCUUUGAUGCAUGUGAGGAUUUCAGACCAGAAGAUGAAAGAUGUGCUGUGUUUGAUUAACAGUAUACCUUUGCCACAGAAAUCAUCAACUCAAUCUCCAGAGAGACAGGUAUCGUCAGUUCCUGUUGCUUCAAGUGGGACAAAAGUUCUCCUUGGUACUUCAUUAUUGCUGAGUGAAAUGGAUUCAGAGUCUGACAAUGAGUAUUUUGAUGCUGAAGACGGUGCCUCCCAGGUGCCUAGAGGUGCGCCAGGCUCCGAACCCCGAAAGGCUGCGGAGGUUCCGAACGAGGCCCUCGUUAAUCUUCUGCUCAAGUUUGAAGUUAAAGAAAUUGUUCAUCUCGGGGUGCGGUGUUUACAGCUACAGAUCUGAGAAAUGUCACUGAUUUGACUUGUGCAUGCGGACCAAGCAUUGCUGGAUCAAGAAAAAAGCCCCUUAACUUGAUUAGCUCUUCUGACAAACCUGGGUCAGAUCUUUUAAAAGUAGAGUAUAUUAAGGUAAGGACCAUGGCAGUGCUGGAGAACCUGUGGAGAGAUGAGAGCUCAGACUGCACCCCAAAACCCACUUCUUUAUGGCAGAAUGCCAAUUAAGUGCAAUUAAACCUGAAUACUGAGAUUUUUGUUUAGGAAAGAACAACUUCUACAUUAGCAUCUUUUGUCUUUGAUUUGCCAGCACUAGUCUGGACUGUGCCCCUGGGAAGUGGACAGGACAGUGUGUUACUAAUCA
ensembl:lincRNA